rnacentral:tRNA from 1 species
AAUUAUAUAUUCAACUAUGAUAUUAAAUUGCAAAUUUAAAGGUGUUUUAAAACUAUAAUUU